GCGAGCGCCGCGCAGCCUGGGCGGCCGGGAGUCGGAGCAGGGGAGCCGGGUUCAAAAAAUAAUUAAAAAUCGAGAAAAUAUCCCAGACAAGCCCUUUCGGCGUGAAAACCCCAGAGAGGACCCAGGCUUCCCGCAGCGGAGAUUUCGGGUGCCGGGAAGGUCUGGACUGCGACCCCUGGGGCUUUGGAUCCCGAGGGGAAACUUGCAGGGAUCUCCGCACCCAGGAAACUGAAGGCCGAACCGCGAUAGAUGCUAAAACCAUCUCAUAUGAUGACUGAUGUUGAAAAUGCAUCUUCCAAAAGAAGCCCAGGCAACCCCAUAGACUGGACUUUAUCACACUCCCUUCUGUCUACAUCUGGGUGGUAAGACCUGGAGCCCAGCAGUGACCUCAAGCCAGAAGAAGCCUCUCACCAAGAUCACUAGGAAGGUGACAUUUGUUUCUCCGUGCUUGCUGAGCUGGGAAAGUGGAUGCCUGGCUUUGAGAGUUCUGUUUUGUUUUGUUUUUUUUGUAACGAGAAUUGAAACAUAAAGGAUUCUUUUCACAUCAUCAUGCAGCUCACAGAAAUAGAGCUUGGAAGAACUUCUCCAAAGUCUUUAGGCUUUGGUCCAUUGACCUUUUACUGAAACAAGCACAUCAGAAACCACAAAUAAAUUGGGGAAGAGGGUACACACUUCACCAAAAGAUUUGUGCUUGGCUAGACUGUCUCCCACAGUGCUUUUUCAAAUUGAGAGAAUUUCUGAUACAUUUUAAAUGGCAGCAUUCACUUGAAAGUGAGAUUUAUCUAUUCCAUUUAGAAAAAUCUGGUGAUGUGGACUUCGUUUUUUGAAAUCCUCGAAAGUCACAUCAUGUUAAAGCUGAAAGGGGCAGUGGAGUCUUCUCUCCUCACUUGAUAGGAGAUGACACAGCAGCCUGGAGAAAUGAAGUGACUUGGUCACUUCGGCUUUGUUUGCGGCAGGCCAUCCACUUUCCAGCUUUCUCCCUUAACUAGGCAUCUUCUUGGCAGCCCAACUACCCGAGCGUCCCUGGUAAGGACCCUCUUCCUCGUGCUCAGCUGUCACAGUGGGUGUUUCAUUGUUGAUCCCCUUCUGGACUUUUUUGGUAUUUUUUUCCCCUGUUAUUAUGGCAAAUUUUCAAACAUAAGGAUAGUGAACAUAACAUAAAUAACUCCCAUGUGCCCUCACCCAGCUUCUACAAUUAUUAACAUAUGGCCAAUCUUCUUUUAUCUACACCUAUCCCCAAAUAGCCCUCCCGCACAGAUGAUUUAAAGCAAACCCAAACGUCAUGCAAUUUCAUCUAGAAACAUUCCCUGUGUCCCCGUGUAAGAAUUCUCCCACAAGGACAUAUUUAUAACAAAAAAUGAAUGAUAAUUCCCUAAUGUCAAAUUUC